ensembl:lncRNA
AUGUCAUUAUGGGGUAUUGUGAUGUCAUUAUGGGGUAUUGUGAUGUCAUUGUGGGGUAUUGUGAUGUCAUUGUGGGGUAUUGUGAUGUCAUUAUGGGGUAUUGUGAUGUCAUUAUGGGGUAUUGUGAUGUCGUUAUGGGGUAUUGUGAUGUAAUUAUGGGGUAUUGUGAUGUCGUUAUGGGGUUUUGUGAUGUCAUUAUGGGGUAUUGUGAUGUCAUUAUGGGGUAUUGUAAUGUCAUUAUGGGGUAUUGUGAUGUCAUUAUGGGGUAUUGUGAUGUCAUUAUGGGGUAUUGUGAUGUCAUUAUGGGGUAUUGUGAUGUCAUUGUGGGGUAUUGUGAUGUCAUUAUGGGGUAUUGUGAUGUCAUUAUGGGGUAUUGUGAUGUCAUUAUGGGGUAUUGUGAUGUCAUUAUGGCAU